GAUGAAGAACGUAGCGAAAUGCGAUAAGUAAUGUGAAUUGCAGAAUUCAGUGAAUCAUCGAAUCUUUGAACGCACCUUGCGCUCUUUGGUAUUCCGAAGAGCAUGCCUGUUUGAGUGUCAUGAAAAUAUCAAGCUUGACUUGGGUUUUGUGCUCUAGUCUCGGCUUGGAAUUGGGUGCUUGCCGCUUUUACGAGCGGCUCACCUUAAAUGUAUUAGCUGGAUCUGUCUUUGAGACUUGGUUUGACUUGGCGUAAUAAGUAUUUCGCUAAGGACAUUCUUCGGAGUGGCCUCGUUUCUAGGACGCUUGUCCGCUUUCCAAUACAAGUUCCACCUCGUGGACAUGACUUUUUAUUAUCUGGCCUCAAAUCAGGUAGGACUACCCGCUGAACUUAAGCAUAUCAAUAAGCGGAGGA
rnacentral:misc_RNA from 1 species